UGAACCAAAAGAUUAACUGCUCUCCAAGCAUCCACUGCGACCCCAAACCUGCUGUACAUCUUCACCAAAGUGAUCUUUAUUUAUUGAAUCGCAGUACUUCUCUUUUCAAUCCUCCUGAUAACUUUCUAUCUGGCCUAAAAUAAAAUUGAAACUCUCCACAGCAAAGCCACUGAGCACACAGCAUCACUCAAUAUACUUUCUGUCAACUUUCUGCUUAAUCUCUUCUUAUUUCUCAGAGAGAAAAAAAAUGAAAUUGUUAUUUUGUUUGAUUCUUUUAUCUUCGCCCUUUGGUUGUUUUCUGUCCCCUCUAGGAUAUUACAAACUUGUAACUAAACUUAGCCCAUGAUAUCUAGAAAUGAAUAAAACUCCUACACACAUCAGAAGUAAGCACAGGGUCGCCUAUCUGAAAACAGGACCAAAGAGUCUUUCCAACUUAUUUGGAAAAACAAAGCUGAGAGCAGUGGUCAGUAUCAUUUUCUGCAAAAAAAAAAAAAAACUAUCCAAAGUUCCCUCGUGGCCAUUUCUUUAUGACAAAGUGGACCACAACUAGAGCAGCUAAAGUGGACCCUCUUGUUCAAAACACCAGGAGAACAUCAUUAAUGUUUAAUAUUUGAGCUCAAGCCAAAGUUUCUGUUUGUAAGUCUCAGGAGGAAAGCAUUUGGAUAAUGGAAUGAUUUCCGGCAGGGCAACACGGGCUCAAACCCACAUGCACUCAUGUCUUUCCCUAGCGUCACUCCCAAAUGCUUAUUUAUUUUAUGUCUCGGGGAUUGCAGUUUAAAGAAGUCCUUCUGGUUCACCGUUAUGUCCACUUGUAUUUGGCGUUCAAAUUAUUUUCUCAUCAAUCCUAUGCCGUGGUAUGUUACUUGAGGAGUAAGUCUUGCAGCUCUCAGAAGUUCGGAGCUGGCUCUGAGCGUAGCAGUCUGAAGAGUAUUACAUCAAGUUCCCGACUCAGGCUGGAGCUUAAGGUUUGAUUUGGGCUACGGAUGAUCAACAGCUGAAAAGCCUUUGUGGGCAGCAAUAUUCAAAGAAGACAAAGCAAGUUGGUGAAAUCUUUGUGUCGCUUUCCCUUCUCUGGAUCCUUACAAAAGAAAGAAAAAAAAUCCUGUUUAUUUUGUGUUGCUUAACACAGGGUUCGCUUAGUAAAUGCGCUUCCUCGCAUGCAUGCAUUUUUUCAGAUGUAGUGACUGCCAGCUGCCAAGCCCCAGUCCUUUCCCUCUAAAUACAGCAGCUUUUCCUUUUUCUUAAAUCUUUCAAGCCCUCCGAAAAGGAGGCAUUUAAUUAAGUGCUACAGAUGAUUGGGGUAUGGAGCUCGGUGAGCCCAACAGUGGAAAGUUGUUAGCAUUUUAAUGAUUGAAUGUUUUAGAGCACAUGCACUUUGGAACAAUUUCGCCGUGUAGAGGAGAAAGUCUUGUCGCAUUUCUGUUGUGAUGUUUUCGUUUGUUACAAAAGCUGAUCAGGAAACUUAAUGUAAAAUCUUCCUCACUAGGAUGAUAUGAAAAGUCCACACGCAUCAAAGGAUAAAAGGAUGAAAUGGGCUGGGACUGGUUGACGACAUUUGGCCUGAAUUGACUACUUUCUGCCAGACAUAUUCUAAGUGUUCUAUAUGGAAAUGCUAGUUUAAUUCACAGUCUCUACAGGAUUAACAACACAUGUGAUAUUGUUGAUUCUGCAUGAUGAAAUGAGGCACAGAGGACCUAAUCAAUAGCUCGAAAUCACGCAGAUCGUGAGGAGCAAAGCCAGGCUUUGAGUGUAAAGGCCGCUAUGAAUUGACAUAGGAAGAUUUUUGAACCAUUGUCUGAUAGUAAACCAAUUAUCUGAUUGAGACAAUGGAGAAGUUUCCCAUAGAAAUACAGCACUCUCCUAUUGUGUUCUAAAGUGCCUAGUGUUACACCUCAUUCUUCUACAAAAUCAAACAGUGUAAACAAGCAGUGUGGCACAAGAGUGGCAGAAUUUCCAAGAUGGCAUCUGACGGUUAGCCAGGAGAAGAGUACAGAGGACAUGAAUAUGUGAGUGGGUGAAGAGAUUCCGUGUGUCCUGGAGAGGAUUGAACAAGAGGGUCAGCAUGUGCUUUCAACAUGUGGUGUGCUUUCAGCAUGUGGAAUAGCACACAGCUGAAAAAUUAGAUGUCAGAACAUUUCUGGAGCGUUCUACUUCCCGUGCUUAGAGCCAGA
rnacentral:lncRNA from 1 species